rnacentral:rRNA from 1 species
UUAGUGGCGAACGGGUGAGUAACGCGUGAACAACCUGACCCAAAGAGGGGGAGUAACAUUUGGAAACAGAUGCUAAUACCGCAUAAGACCACAACGUCACAUGGCGAAGGGGUCAAAGGAGCAAUCCGGCUUUGGGAGGGGUUCGCGUCCCAUUAGGUAGAUGGCGGGGUAAGGCCCACCAUGCCAACGAUGGGUAGCCGAGCUGAGAGGCUGAUCGGCCACACUGGAACUGAGACACGGUCCAGACUCCUACGGGAGGCAGCAGUGGGGAAUAUUGGGCAAUGGGCGCAAGCCUGACCCAGCAACGCCGCGUGAGGGAAGAAGGUUUUCGGAGUUGUAAACCUCUGUCGCAGAAGACGAAGGAAGUGACGGUAUUCUGUGAGGAAGCCCCGGCUAACUACGUGCCAGCAGCUGC